rnacentral:rRNA from 1 species
GAUGAACGCUGGCGGCGUGCCUAAUACAUGCAAGUCGAGCGAACAGAUGAGGAGCUUGCUCCUCUGACGUUAGCGGCGGACGGGUGAGUAACACGUGGAUAACCUACCUAUAAGACUGGGAUAACUUCGGGAAACCGGAGCUAAUACCGGAUAAUAUAUUGAACCGCAUGGUUCAAUAGUGAAAGACGGUUUUGCUGUCACUUAUAGAUGGAUCCGCGCCGCAUUAGCUAGUUGGUAAGGUAACGGCUUACCAAGGCAACGAUGCGUAGCCGACCUGAGAGGGUGAUCGGCCACACUGGAACUGAGACACGGCCCAGACUCCUGCGGGAGGCAGCAGUAGGGAAUCUUCCGCAAUGGGCGAAAGCCUGAAGGAGCAACGCCGCGUGAGUGAUGAAGGUCUUCGGAUCGUAAAACUCUGUUAUUAGGAAAGAACAAAUGUGUAAGUAACUAUGCACGUCUUGACGGUACCUAAUCAGAAAGCCACGGCUAACUACGUG